AAUCACUACAACACUCUAACUAGAACUGUGUUUGCUGCACAAUCCAGUAGCCCUUAUAUAGUAAAUCUGUAACAAAACAUUGCUUCUAGAACAUUCUGGCAACUACGAAUUCGCUAACUAGUUGCUUCUGGCAGUUUAUCGUUGAUUCGAUUUUGUUCUAUCAUCCGCGUUUGUCACAAUAUAUAUAUUAUGUAUUAUCGAACAUUCAAAAAAAGAUCGAGCCUACAUUAAUUACAACGUCAGAAUUGGUGAGGAGAAAAAAAAAAUGCAAUAAACGUUUGUUUCGAAAAUAUUCACGUAAAUUUUCAUUAGUGUUUUCCAUUACAAAUACCUUUUCACAAAAAAGUUAUACUGUUUCCUUUUACUUACAUCUCUAUGUCAAAAAAGGCAAAUUUAGAUUAGGUGAUUUCAGCUGUGUAAAAUUCUUGGAAAACAGCAGAUUCUUUUGUUACUUGUAGGUUUAUAUAAUGACUUUGUUCUUCUUUGUCCGAUCGUUUCAUAUACUAGCGAUGAGCGUAUAGGGAUUUUUCGAUAUCUGUGACUCCAGCGAUUACUAUUUUAAAAAUCACUGUGAUCGCCACUAAAAAAAAAACUAAUUUUCAAAUUUGGUUUUAACAAUAAAUAAAAUUAAAAAUAGAAUUAAUUUAAAAAAUUCCAUUAGCAGUUGCAACUUCUGAUUAUUUCUUAAAUAUCUAUACAAUUGAGACAUGAGGGAUGAUCGAGCAAGCAAAUAAAUGCACCAAUAUUGUUUGCUGCAGAUACUCAGAUGAUACCUAUGCUGCAAUAUUUUUGCGUUGAAUAUGAUGCCUGGCUAUACUGCCGCAGUGAUGGAGACACGAACAUCCCCAUGUGUUUAACAUUUGCAUUUAAAAAUAAUAGCAUUUUGGCCUUUCGCUUAAUAUUAUUCUGUCCGUAGAAAAUAACAUUUCAGAAGGCACUGAUGAUUCUAAGCAUCCUAACUUUUCACGAGCAAUUGGUAACAGGUACGGGUACUUAUAACUAUUUGUUUUCCACCACUGCAACGAAUCUUCUGUUCGGCCAAUUACUUCACCCCUAACUGUGAACUUCGAUAAUAAUUUCGAUACAGAAGGUAUAUUUUAAUCCCAACAUCCAAAAUGUUUAAAAAAAGAAAGCUGUAAAUUUUCUGCUAUUGCGAUCACAUGUAACCCUAUUAAGCUGUACUGUUCGCAAUUUCACAAGUUUAUUGUGAACUACUAUCGCGCAAUCGCAAUUCUCAGAAUCGAACUGCUAUUUACAAUGAGUGAUCUCAGUUGCGAUAUCCGUAUUUUCAAUCACAGUAAAAAAAAUCAUCCAAGGCAUUUGCCAUGUCAGGUUGCUAAUGGCUGGUUACGACCUUAACAGGUUUCAAAAUGUAAUCAAAAUCUCAAGAAAUAAAUUCUAGCUACUUGUCGCAUUGGAAUUCAUCAAUGGGGAUAAGUGAGUCGAUGUGACUUAGGGGAGGGCACAAUAGACCCUAAGUCGCGAUACAUACCUCAUUUUCCAAUGUAAUAUAAUCUACGUAAGUAAUAAAAAUACGCAAGUAAGCAUGGGGUGUACUCUUUGUUGCGGGGCAUCACUUCAGCUGUCUGGUAUGUAUACAUGUGUUGUAAACAUGGCUCCCGCAUUUAAUUAGGAUCAGCUAUGUCGCUCACAGUACACACAACGCAUUAAAAUUGGAAUGUCACGAGAUACUGUUUGACGUAGUGUGCUGUUGUUAAAAUAUUGUGGCAAACACGAAUGCCAGAACUAAAUAAAAUCGAUGAUAAAUUGCUAGAAUCAAGCAAGCAGCGAAAUUCGUAUUUGUCAGAAUGUUCGAGUGGCGAUGUUUUCGUAAAAAUCUACUAUAUAAGGGUUGCCAGAUCGUGCAGCAGGGACAGUUUUGAUUAGAGUGCUGCUUAGUAAAAAGCUAUAAGCAAUAACUUGUAAACUCGAAUAACGUGUAAUAAGGGUUAAGUUGUUUGAAUAAGAAAUAAAGAUAAAUGUAUAGCAUUAACUUGAAACUUUUAUUUAACAAUCCAGUGAUCGAACUCAAGAGGGAGCUAUAACGUAAACGUUUUAUCAAGAAAUCCGUUACAAUAUAUUCCCAUUUCUACCGUAAUACUGUACGCCUGACGGCACUGAAGGAAUUUUGUCAAGAUACCAAAGUGGAAUGUAACAAACUGCUGCGAUAUGCACACAAGAUUUUGGGCUCUUAUACCAGCUAUCAAACGUAGUUUAGAACUCUCAAGUCGUAUUUCCUCGCACACGAAAAGGAGAAAAACAGCUGAAGAAAUUUUUUAGAAACGAAUCAUCAAUAUUUUGGUUGAUGUUCGUCCAAGCCGAGUUAUUCGCUGAAUAUCUACUACAGAUUAAAGAUGAUGAUGUUACGGCAAUUGACGUGGCAUAAUCUUUGAAUGCCUUUGAAAAAACGCUGAAAAUGCGGAAAGAAGAUGAUUUUUUAUCACCAGCUACAGUAGCAGAGAAGCAAAGACUUAUUGAUUAGGGAUACAUUUCCGAGGAGAUGGCUGCUAAUCACUCUGCUCUCGCCUAUUUCCAUCUACGGACAGCACCAUAUAAAUCGCUGAAAAUCUUUGGUUGGGCAUCAUUGAAAGAAACACCAAAAUGUCUAAAUAGUUAUGAACAACUUGAGCGAAAACCAUCUGUGCGAUGCCUAUAAAAAAAACCAUAGAUUUGCACUAGCAACUCCAAUAUGUUAAAAACUACUGUACGAGUGAAAA